CCUAAGGGAAAGGUGGGCUGCAGGGAGGCCAGGGCGUACACUCUUCUCAAGCCGCUCUGGGGGUCGCGGAAGCAGAAGUCUGAGGGGGGAUCGCCAGGAGGCACAGAUGGUUGGAGCUGUGGAGUGGUGAGUCUGGGUAUGGGGGGGAAUGCGCAUCCUUCGGACAGCGUCACUGCACUACAUUUCCCAGAAUGCUUUGCCGAUCCAGAAUGGCUUUUACCAUGGCAACAGUGGCAGGCGGGACACAAGAGAAGGCUGGAGAGAAGAUGCUUCAUGGGAUUGGUCAAGAAGCGACGAGGGGCGGGGCCAUAAGGGAGGCUGGCGACACCCCAGCGACUUCCGCUUCCUUCUUUGCUCCUCGCGGCUCCGCCAUCAAACCGGUCCGGACCCCUGCCGACUUCGGAUGUCCGCACCGUGUUCGGCUCCGCCGCGUACUCAGCCGCUGCCAGUGCCCAAGCCCUGCGUCCUGUGCCGGGGUAGAGGCUGGCCAGAUGGACCCACGCAAGAGUUGUGGAAACGAGCUGGUGCAGGUGGUUAUAACAACGUGAACUAGGGAUAAAUGUGCACUUGGGUUCACAGAGUCAAGAUUGGGAGGUGGCGCCUGAAACCAAGGAGUGAGCUACAAAGCUGGGCUUCUCUAUGGAACAGUCAUCUCAGGAAAUACUCACAUGGGAUCGCCCCUGUGUUUCUAGUUUGGGAGAAACUUCAGAAUGUGAUGCCAGGCUAGAGAAACAGCCAAGAAAAGUGGUGAGACAUCCCAGACUUGGUCCUGGAGAGAAACCUUAUAAAUGUAACGAGUGUGGGAAGGCCUUCCGACAGAGCUCACAGCUUAUUGUACACCACAGAAUUCACACUGGGGAGAAACCUUAUGAAUGUAGUGAAUGUGGGAAGGCCUUCCGAGAGAGCAAAGAACUGAUUCGACACCAGAGAAUUCACACUGGAGAGAAACCUUACGAAUGCAAAGAAUGUGGGAAGGGCUUCAGAGAAAGCAAAGAGCUCACUCGACAUCAAAGGAUUCAUACUGGAGAAAAACCCUAUGAAUGUAAAGACUGUGGAAAGGCUUUCAGGCGGAGAACUGGACUUAAUGAACACCAGAGAAUUCACACUGGGGAGAAGCCUUACGAAUGUAAUGAAUGUGGGAAGGCCUUCCGCAGGAGAACCGGACUUAAUGAACAUCAGCGAAUCCAUACUGGAGAAAAACCUUAUGAAUGUAAUGAGUGUGGGAAAGCCUUCCGUGAGAGCAAAGAACUUAUUCAACACCAGAGAAUUCACACAGGGGAGAAACCUUACGAAUGUAAAGAAUGCGGGAAGGCCUUCAGGCGGAGCACAGGACUCACGGACCAUCAGAGAAUUCACACUGGAGAGAAACCUUACGAGUGCAAUCAAUGUGGCAAGACCUUCCGCUGGAGAACAGAGCUUACCUCUCAUCACACAAUUCAUACCGGAGAGAAGCCUUAUGAGUGCAGCGAAUGCGGGAAGGCCUUCCGCCUGAGCGCCCACCUCAUCCAGCACCGGAGUAUUCACACCGGAGAGAAACCUUACGAGUGUAACGUUUGUGGGAAGGCCUUCCGCUGGAUCACGGGACUGGCUUCCCAUCACAGAAUUCACACGGGAGAGAAGCCCUAUGAAUGUAACAUCUGUGGGAAGACCUUCCGCCAGAGUACCCAGCUUUCCAGACAUCACAGAAUGCACACUGGAGAGAAGCCCUACGAAUGUACUGAGUGCGGGAAGGCUUUCUGCCUGAGCACCCAGCUUAUUCAACACCAGAGAAUUCACAACCGCAUGAAGCCUUUUGAAUGGUAAGGCCUCCCAAGGUGAGGGACCUGAGGUCUGGUGCACGUGGAGAGCGCCCACUGAAGUUUGGAGAAUCCCAACUAAAGGAAGCCCUUAAAGAUCAAAGCCCAGUCAGACUCCCCGCCAUGGCCGCCAGCUCAGCCUUCAGAAGUAGCUUCCUGCUCUCCCCAUGAAGGACCUCGGUGUUCACAGGCCACGGCUCCUAACGUCCCGGGAGGAUGAAGUGUCCUGUCAGCUGAAAGGCUCACGGAGAACCUUGGCCGUUUGAUCAAAGAAUGUGACCCGAGCGGGUCUUGCAGCAGCACAGAUUAUCCCUAAGCACUGAAAAUUGUCCAAAUGUAAGCUAAGUUAUGUAACCUGGAGCGCUACAAAGCACUUUCAUAGACUCGAGCCUUUCAAGGUCCCGGAGGCCGUCCUCAUCUGUCCCCAAACAAGAAUCUCCCUUGGAUGCACCCGACAAGUGGCCUUCCAGCGCUUCCGGUGAACCCCGAGACUCCCCCCACCCCCCUGACAAAAUGACCAAAAAAAGGGCACAGUUUGGAGACGGGACAUGGAAAGAAGGGCAAGCACAAUAAUACGCUGUCGGUCCAAAUGUUUUCGCAGGCAGGUUGGAGUUCCGGUGAGCCUGUCCUUGCCGGCAGGCCUUUGUCCCGAGGGCAUCCGAGCUCUCCGAGGCUCACAGCACUUUCCCAAGAGCGGGUCUGCUAGGGAAUGACUACACAGAGGCGGCCUCGGGAGCGGGAAGGCCCGGGUCUGAGUCCCACUUCCGGCCGCGCGCCCGAGGCUAGAGAAGCUGCUUUAACAAAGGCGGCUCUUUCUGCAGUCCCUGGCCCCUGGGAAGCCCAGCUCUCGUCUGUGACGGGCAAUGACAGAUUUUUAGAAUUUUCAAGGACGUCUGAACUGGCGCCGAGCGGAGAACGCAGGAGCGAGAGGAGGCGAGCUCGGCUUUGGCGAUGGCAAGGACGGCUGCAGUGAGAUCUGAGCCUGGCCAGGCUCGGGCUGGUCUCAGCGAUGGCCGUCUCUGGCCGGAGGCGGGGGCGCAGCUGCGGCCGGGGCUGAGUUUGCUUGGCUGUAUUUAUUUAUUAGGAGCGGCGCUUCUGUAAUUGGUGGGAAGAGGGGAUGGGCGGGAGUGACAGGGACGUUAAAACCGGGGAAGGGGAUCAAUAAAACACUGGGAAAGAAAGGCGCCGUUUCUCUGACCAGACCAUGGAUCAUCCGGCCU